GGUGGGAUGUUUGCCGAAGAGCAGAUUGGUCGGAAAGAGAGGAAUGUAUAUCUGGAAUUACUCUAGGCAGGCAAGAAACUUGUCCAAUUCUUGAAGAAACUUCACUCGACUCUCCCCCUCCUGAUGACAGCAAUUUGUAUUGAACUAGAUGGCCACAAGGAGUGUAAACCAAUAAGUGGUCCAAAGCAUUAACAUUUUUCAAGUGAGAAGGUUGCAAAUCUCGAGCAACACAACUAUGAAAAACAGCAGCAAUAGCACCGGAAGGAACUGAGCUCUUUCCUGCUGCUGAAGAUGCAGCAUUGCUAACUGUGUUG
rnacentral:misc_RNA from 1 species